GGGAGUUCAAGAAAAGCAGCUGCUAUGGUGCCGUUUUUGAAUACAUCAACAUAGCUGUAUUCACUGCUAACAUUUAUGAUGUUUUCUACCUUGAACCUCUCUACUCUCUCAAGUUGUUGAACUGUGAGCAUCGAUGAAAGACUUGCAGUGUAGCUCGAGUUAAGGAUCAGAACUAGAAACAGCCAAGAUACCAUCACAACACGGCUUAAGUUGCUAGACAAGUUCUCCUCUGCAUCAUGUUACAAUUAGGAUUGGUUUACUCUAAUGAGCAUGGUAAAUAUGAUUGAUCAAUUCUGUUAUUUUAUUGAGGUAUGUGAAUGAAUAAUUGAUACUUACUAUGAGCAAAGAAUAGGGAGGAGAAGGUAAACCAAAGUGCAGUGCUAAGUUGGCUCUUCCAGUUGCCAUGAAACUCGGGAUUUGAUUCUCGCUCCAGGUACCACACUACCAACAUUGUGUAGAACAAGAUAGCAGCAGUUACCACCCACAUUUGCCAGGUGAAAGGCUUCAGGAACAUCCAUGCUGAUUCAUCUGACUUUGAUGGAACUACCAUUGACAAUCCUGAUUCUGCAUAUGGCACAGUGAAAUCUACAAAUGGCAUUCUGUCUGCUAGUAAGGUUAUGUCCCCAACAACAGCCUCAUAAGUCUUCCAUGAUUUCAAUUCACAUCACAGCCAGAAAGAAAAAAUCUAUGUCAGUAAUCAAAAUUAAACUUCAACUCCGCAUAUAUCGAGUCAGCCAAGGUUUUGUGUCUUUUCAAAUUAUAACAAAACUUGGUAAUACAGGCUUUUGUUCCUUUUAAUACAAAAAAACUUCUGAAAAUACACAAGAA